rnacentral:rRNA from 1 species
GACGAACGCUGGCGGCGUGCCUAAUACAUGCAAGUCGAGCGAGUCUGCCUUGAAGAUCGGAGUGCUUGCACUCUGUGAAACAAGAUACAGGCUAGCGGCGGACGGGUGAGUAACACGUGGGUAACCUGCCCAAGAGAUCGGGAUAACACCUGGAAACAGAUGCUAAUACCGGAUAACAACAGAUGAUGCCUAUCAACUGUUUAAAAGAUGGUUCUGCUAUCACUCUUGGAUGGACCUGCGGUGCAUUAGCUAGUUGGUAGGGUAACGGCCUACCAAGGCGAUGAGGCAUAGCGGAGUGGAGAGACUGAUCGGCCACAUUGGAACUGAGACACGGCCCACACUCCUACGGGAGGCAGCAGGAGGGAAUCUUCCACAAGGGGCGCAAGUCUGAUGGAGCAACGCCGCGUGAGUGAAGAAGGUUUUCGGAUCGUAAAACUCUGUUUUUGGGGAAGAAGAAAAGGGGUAGUAACUGUCCUUUUUUUGACGGUAAUUAAUAAGAAAGCCACGGCUAACUACGUG